GGGGAGGUACCCGAGUGGACAAAGGGAGCAGACUGUAAAUCUGCCGCUUCCGAGCUACGGAGGUUCGAAUCCUCCCCUCCCCACCA
rnacentral:tRNA from 2 species